rnacentral:rRNA from 1 species
GAUGAACGCUGGCGGCGUGUCUAAUACAUGCAAGUCGAGCGAGCAGACGAGGAGCUUGCUCCUCUGACGUUAGCGGCGGACGGGUGAGUAACACGUGGAUAACCUACCUAUAAGACUGGGAUAACUUCGGGAAACCGGAGCUAAUACCGGAUAAUAUAUUGAACCGCAUGGUUCAAUAGUGAAAGACGGUUUUGCUGUCACUUAUAGAUGGAUCCGCGCCGCAUUAGCUAGUUGGUAAGGUAACGGCUUACCAAGGCAACGAUGCGUAGCCGACCUGAGAGGGUGAUCGGCCACACUGGAACUGAGACACGGUCCAGACUCCUACGGGAGGCAGCAGUAGGGAAUCUUCCGCAAUGGGCGAAAGCCUGACGGAGCAACGCCGCGUGAGUGAUGAAGGUCUUCGGAUCGUAAAACUCUGUUAUUAGGGAAGAACAAAUGUGUAAGUAACUAUGCACGUCUUGACGGUACCUAAUCAGAAAGCCACGGCUAACUACGUG